rnacentral:rRNA from 1 species
UGGGGAAUAUUGGACAAUGGGCGCAAGCCUGAUCCAGCCAUGCCGCGUGAGUGACGAAGGCCUUAGGGUUGUAAAGCUCUUUUGGCGGGGAAGAUAAUGACGGUACCCGCAGAAUAAGCUCCGGCUAACUUCGUGCCAGCAGCCGCGGUAAUACGAAGGGAGCUAGCGUUGUUCGGAAUCACUGGGCGUAAAGCGCACGUAGGUGGGCAGUUAAGUCAGGGGUGAAAGCCCGAGGCUCAACCUCGGAAUUGCCUCUGAUACUGGCUGUCUAGAGUUCGAGAGAGGUGAGUGGAAUUCCUAGUGUAGAGGUGAAAUUCGUAGAUAUUCGGAGGAACACCAGUGGCGAAGGCGGCUCACUGGACCAUUACUGACGCUGAGGUGCGAAAGCGUAGGGAGCAAACAGGAUUAGAUACCCAAGUAGUCCCUGAGCGGGCUGGCAAGGCGCAU